AACAAACAUAGAAAUUAGGGUAGAUAUUAUCUUCUCAUCCUGAAAAAAGAAAGGAGCAUAAUAAGAAGAUUGAGAGGAAGAAUAUUACACGAUUAUUAUCCCCCUUGUAAUUGCCUUUAUGUUGUCAAAUGAAAGUUUACUUGGGGUCAUUUGCUUUAAAAUGAUCAGGGAUUGGUUUGUGAGGAUCUAGAGCGCAAGGUAAAGGCAUCCAUGUAGUCCCUGCACAUUCGUUAAGCUGUUUGGAACAUUCUCUAAUUGAACAUUUCUGACACUUAGCAACACAUGUGUUAAACAAGCACUGGGAGGCACAGUGCUUAACUCCACAAUGAGCAGUUUUUGCCCAGCAAUCAUUACAUUGAGCUGAUAAUUUUAAACCAUCAAAACUAAGCUUUGAAAUACACCUAAAUGUAUUCUUAUAGCUCCCAAGAGCUUUCCUGGAGCAUUUUGCAACAGCAUUUUGGAAUUCAUCUCUGUGAGAACCAAAGACAAUAUUCACAUCUGAAGCAAGUUUCACACAACUUCCAAUUGAGGAGCUGUUAAAAGGAGCAACUGGAGUCACGACAGUAGUAUUUUUCAUAGCAGCUUCAAUUUUAUCCCAGGAAUCUGAAAUAAUUUCAGUUGUAUUAGUAUCCAUAUUCUCGAAAAGCUCCCUAUUUUCUUCAGAAUGUUCAAGAUCUUUGAUUAAAUCAGUCAAAUUCUUGCCCUGAUCGUACUCUCUUUUAAUAAUCUCCAAACUUUCAAUGAUAGACUCUUUUUCAGAAAUCUUCGUGUAGUUCUCAUUCAAAAUGAUAUUUGAUGAUCUGACAUUUUGAAUUAAAGCUGUUAGAGCUAUAAUGAAUAACAAUCUUAAUGAAACCAUUUUAAUUUCUUUAUUUUUUUCUUUAAAA
rnacentral:antisense_RNA from 1 species